GAUGAACGCUGGCGGCGUGCCUAAUACAUGCAAGUCGAGCGAACGGACGAGAAGCUUGCUUCUCUGAUGUUAGCGGCGGACGGGUGAGUAACACGUGGAUAACCUACCUAUAAGACUGGGAUAACUUCGGGAAACCGGAGCUAAUACCGGAUAAUAUUUUGAACCGCAUGGUUCAAAAGUGAAAGACGGUCUUGCUGUCACUUAUAGAUGGAUCCGCGCUGCAUUAGCUAGUUGGUAAGGUAACGGCUUACCAAGGCAACGAUGCAUAGCCGACCUGAGAGGGUGAUCGGCCACACUGGAACUGAGACACGGUCCAGACUCCUACGGGAGGCAGCAGUAGGGAAUCUUCCGCAAUGGGCGAAAGCCUGACGGAGCAACGCCGCGUGAGUGAUGAAGGUCUUCGGAUCGUAAAACUCUGUUAUUAGGGAAGAACAUAUGUGUAAGUAACUGUGCACAUCUUGACGGUACCUAAUCAGAAAGCCACGGCUAACUACGUGCCAGCAGCCGCGGUAAUACGUAGGUGGCAAGCGUUAUCCGGAAUUAUUGGGCGUAAAGCGCGCGUAGGCGGUUUUUUAAGUCUGAUGUGAAAGCCCACAGCUCAACCGUGGAGGGUCAUUGGAAACUGGAAAACUUGAGUGCAGAAGAGGAAAGUGGAAUUCCAUGUGUAGCGGUGAAAUGCGCAGAGAUAUGGAGGAACACCAGUGGCGAAGGCGACUUUCUGGUCUGUAACUGACGCUGAUGUGCGAAAGCGUGGGGAUCAAACAGGAUUAGAUACCCUGGUAGUCCACGCCGUAAACGAUGAGUGCUAAGUGUUAGGGGGUUUCCGCCCCUUAGUGCUGCAGCUAACGCAUUAAGCACUCCGCCUGGGGAGUACGACCGCAAGGUUGAAACUCAAAGGAAUUGACGGGGACCCGCACAAGCGGUGGAGCAUGUGGUUUAAUUCGAAGCAACGCGAAGAACCUUACCAAAUCUUGACAUCCUUUGACAACUCUAGAGAUAGAGCUUUCCCCUUCGGGGGACAAAGUGACAGGUGGUGCAUGGUUGUCGUCAGCUCGUGUCGUGAGAUGUUGGGUUAAGUCCCGCAACGAGCGCAACCCUUAAGCUUAGUUGCCAUCAUUAAGUUGGGCACUCUAAGUUGACUGCCGGUGACAAACCGGAGGAAGGUGGGGAUGACGUCAAAUCAUCAUGCCCCUUAUGAUUUGGGCUACACACGUGCUACAAUGGACAAUACAAAGGGCAGCGAAACCGUGAGGUCAAGCAAAUCCCAUAAAGUUGUUCUCAGUUCGGAUUGUAGUCUGCAACUCGACUACAUGAAGCUGGAAUCGCUAGUAAUCGUAGAUCAGCAUGCUACGGUGAAUACGUUCCCGGGUCU
rnacentral:rRNA from 1 species